UACGGAGGGUGCAAGCGUUAUCCGGAAUCACUGGGCAUAAAGCGCGCGUAGGCGGGUUUCCAAGUCGGUUGUGAAAUCCCUCAGCUCAACUGAGGAACUGCAUCCGAUACUGUUUGUCUUGAGGACGGGAGGGGAGAGUGGAACUUCUGGUGAAGCGGUGAAAUGCGUAGAUAUCAGAAGGAACGCCGGUGGCGAAAGCGACUCUCUGGCCCGUAUCUGACGCUGAGGCGCGAAAGCUUGGGUAGCAAACGGG
rnacentral:rRNA from 1 species